GUGCAGAGAUGAGCAUCCCCUGACAUGUUAAUGCAUUAAAUGGCCAUAGAUCUUGCUGACUUUUGUAAUGAAGACGUGCUGUGUGGGGCUGUUACUAGAUGUGUGUUAUGGAGUUAAGCAUACUAUACAUCCGUGUUUUAAGAGCAAGCGCUAGCAUCACAUAAUCCCCAACCCUGGGUAGCAAGGGCAGCGGAUAGGGGAUUUCACUAAAGCCGCAGGCUGGCUGCCUGCACCUGCAGGGUGGCGUGGGCUCAGUAGGUGGCGCUCUUGCCCCUCCAUCCUUCAUCCAUUUAUGUACAAGUUUAGUUGGUUGAUUUUUAAUCCGUUGCUUUCAGUCAUGCACACAAACACCCUGCAUGGGCGGCAGCACGAGCUCUGAAAAGCUACACGUGGCCUUUCCAUCUCCCAGCCAGCUGAGGCCCUGCCCUUAUCAGUUGUAGGCUUAAGGGUUUGUUGAGAUAAUUGUUAAGAGCAGAGCUGGGCUUCCCAGGUGGCAAUAAUGGUAAAGAACCUGCCCGCCAAUGCAAGAGACAUGAAACUCAGGCUUGAUCCCUGGGUUAGGAAGAUCCUCUGGAGGAGGGCAUGGCAACCCACUCCAGUGUUCUUGCCUGGAGAAUCCCAUGGACAGAGGAGCCUGGCGGGCUACAGUCCAUGGGGUCGCUCAGAGUUGGACACGAGUGAAGUAACAGCACACACAAGAGAAAGAAGCCAAUCUGAAAAGACUAUAUUCUCUGUGAUCCCAACUCUGUGACGUUCUCGAAAGGCAAAUAUGGACACAGUAAAAAGGUCAGUGGCUGCCGAGGCUUGGGGGCAGAAGGCAGGGGGAUGAACAGGUGGAGCCCAGAGGAUGUUUCGGGCAGUGAAACUACUCUAUAUGAUGCUACAAUGAUGGAUACACACAGUUAUACGCUUGUCCCAACCCAUGGAAGGCACAGCACCAGGAGUGAGCCCUGACAGAAGCUGUGGACCCUGGGUGGUGAUGGUGCAUCCAUGUCGGUUCAUCAGUCGCAGCAAAUGUGUCUUCUGGUGGGGAUGUUGACGAUGGGGGAGGUGACGCCUUGGUCGGACAGGGGAUAUCUGGGAAUCUGUACCUUCCUCUCAAUUUUGCUGUGAAUCCAAGGUUGCUAUUUAAAAGCAGUCCAUUGUUUUAAAUCUUAAUUAUCCUUUCUUCUCAGCCAUGAGCCAAAACUUAAUUUUAUCUCUCGGAACGUUUCAUCAAGCACCUAUAUAUGCCAGGCCCCUCGCCAAGCGCUGGAAACACAAGGUCCAGCUCUGGAGUGUGGAGUCCAGUGAAGAGACAGCGGCACAGAAGGCAGAGGGCUUGUAUCCCUCGCGGGCUGCAGGUGUCAGACGCAGCCCACCUGUGAGGAGUUCAGCGCAGUUUUCAACCCGAUAAGGUGCUUUGCAGCUGUUAGACCUGAACUUUUGAGUCUGUUUAAAGAGCAUCUUGGGCGAGCUUGUUGAGACCUGGAAAGGCCCAGGAGUCAUGGCACCUCCUUGUUCCCCAACCAGGGAUCAAACCGACGCCCCUGCAUUGGAAGCAUGGAGUCUUAACCACAGGACCGUCAGGGAGGUCCCCCAUACAGCUUUUCGCCAAGUAUUUGGCACAGAUGAAAACACAAGGAGGAAUGACACGCGGCCGCCCCAUAAUUGUGGGGCCUUCUCCAGUGGACCAUGAUCUAUUUACUGAGAAUUUUUUAAUAAAUAAACCACAGCCUUGAACCCUUGUGCCCUUAUAAACCAGUUGGUUCUCAUGGGGAGAGUUCAGGAGUUUUUAUGGAGCAAUAGUAUGUUCUCAUGAGAAUUUUAUUAGAAAUCAGAGACUUGAAAUGCAUCAAGCAGGAAAUUUAUGAGGUUACAUGGGAACCAUCCCUUCAUUUUGUCAUUCUGGGUUAAUUUACUUCUUCGUAGUGUGUUGAUUUACUUUGUAAAUUUCAGUCAUGAAUUCUAAGCUUCUCAGCAAAUUUAAGCCUGCUCAUCAAUAUCUUGAACUUCUCCCAUUUUUUAUCCUUAAAAUAAGAUAGCUAAUUAUUGAUAGCCUAUAUAAGAAAGUCCAAACAUCUAUGGGAAGCACAUAUUCCUGGGCAGAAAUGUGUCCAAGCAGGUCUUUCCAAAUGCCAAGGAAUAAACAGAGCUUAGAGAAAAACAUUUUUAUAACCUACAUGCAAUUCUUUAUGUCUUGAACUUUUC
ensembl:lncRNA